CGCCUCUAAGUCAGAAUCUGUACUAGAAACGAUGAUGUUGGUCCCGCACGUGUGAGUUGUGUCAUAAUAGGCUUCGGCUGUGUACCAUACCUGGGCUGGGUCGUCCGGGCGGAAAGGCUCGGGCGGCUUGCCCUUCAUUGUAAUCAAAUAUGCGCGGGGGUGAAUCCUUUGCAGACGACUUGAAUUGAACCGGGUGCUGUAAGUAGUAGAGUA
rnacentral:rRNA from 1 species